UUGACAAGACAUUGCAUUUAGGGCUGAGUUUUCCAAGGUCUGUCUCUAUCUCUGCAUACUGUCUGGCUGUGAAUCUCUAUCUGUUGCAGGAGGAAGUGUCUCUGCUGAUGACUGAGCAAGGUACUGAUCUAAAAGUAUAGAAGAAUGGCAUUUGGAGUCAUUUUAUUGCUCCAUUGUCUCUUGUUUGUUUGUUUUUUAGAACAUUAGUAUUUGGUUUUACCCUAGGCCCCCAGGAUAUAUGGUCUCACUCACUCUGUACCUAUUCAAUAAUUUGAAGUCUUAGAGGAAUAAGGCAAUUAAAGAAGAUCGAGGGGACACAAUUGGAAAGGAAGAAGUCAAAGUAUCUGUAUUUGCAGAUGAUGUGAUGGCGUACAUAAGUGAUCCUAAAAAUUCCACCACGGAGUUCCUACAGCUGGUAAAUACUUUCAGCAAGGUAGAAGGGUGUCAAAUUAAUUCAACAAAAUCAGUAGCAUUCCUCUAUAUACAAAUAAAACACUGAUUAGAAAAAAUAAGGGAAACAAUACCUUUCACAAGAGUCUUAGAUAAUAUAAAAUCUCUUGGGGGUAACUCUAGCUAAGCAAGUGAAAGACUUGUAUGGUAAAAAGACACCGAAGAGAUUACAGGAUGUAUCAGAAGAUGGAAAGAUCUCCCACGCUCAUGAAUUGGUAGAAUUGUAAAAAUGGUCAUUCUAUCAAAUGCAAUGUACAGGUCCAAUGUCCUCUCCAUUAAAAUUCCAACACAAUUAUUCAUAGAUUUCCACAGAAAAAGACAAUUUUCGAUUUCAUAUGGAAAUAUACAGAGAGAGACAGAGAGACAGAGAGAGAAUAAUACAAUAACCACUGGAAGUAUGGAAGUAUCACUGCCCCCAACCUUGCUGUACUGCAGAGCUAUAGUAAUAAAAUUGGCAUGGUAUUAGAGCAAAAACAAACAUGUCAAUCAGUGGCUUCAAAUUGAAGAUCCAGACAUAAUCCAUAUACCUAUGGAUAGCUGAUACAUUUAUAUAUAUAAAGAAUCCAGAAAUAUACACUGGAAAAAACAUAGCAUCUUUAACAAAUGUCACUGGUCAAAAACUGAAUGGUGGCAUAUAGAAGAAUUCAAAUAGUCCAUACUCAUCAGUCCACUUAAAACUCAAGUCCAAAUGCAUAAAAAACCUCAACAUAAAACCAGAUAUCCUGAACCUGAUAGAAGAAAAAAACAGGGAAUAGCCUUGAACUCACUGGCACUGCAGAAGACUUUGUGAACAGAACACUAUUAGCACAGACACUAAGAUCGACAAUGAAUACAUGGGACCUCAUGAAACUAAAAAGCUUCUGGAUGACAAAUGACACCAUUAUUUAAACAGAGUGGCAGCCUACAGAAUGGGAAGAGAUUUUUUUUCCAAUUACAUAUUUAACAGUGGGCUAAUAUCC
rnacentral:lncRNA from 1 species